rnacentral:rRNA from 1 species
AUGUGGUUCUCAAAAACUGAAGGAAAUACUUACGCUACUUUGCUGCAUCACCCUUUCCUAUUCAAGGGAAAACCAACGCAGUGCUCAAGAGGUAGCAAGAAGGAAUUUAAUGAUGAUAGCUGCUCUUUGAUAGAUUGUAUUUCCUUGUUGCAAUCCGUGCUAAAUUCUCCUCAUGCUUAUAGCCAAAAUAAAGCUUUUACCAAACAUAUCGUUGAUGCUUUGAUGCAAUCUUAUGAAGAAAAACUUGAGUUGGAGGUUUCUAUCCCUAGAAAACUUUAUGAUGAAUGGGAACUUACUAUUAAAAUUAAAAUUAAAGAUCAUGAAUGCUAUGCUUUGUGUGAUUUGGGUGCUAGUGUUUCCAUGAUUCCAAAGACUUUGUGCGAUUUUCUAGGUUUCUGUGAUUUUGAUGAUUGCUCUUUGAACUUGCACCUUGCGGAUUCCACCAUUAAGAAACCUAUGGGAAGAAUUAAUGAUGUUCUUAUUGUUGCAAAUAGGAACUAUGUGCCCGAUUUUAUUGUUCUUGACAUAGAUUUCAAUCCUUCAUGUCCUAUUAUUCUUGGUAGACCUUUCCUUAGAACGAUUGGUGCAAUUGUUGAUAUGAAGAAAGGGAAUAUUAGAUUCCAAUUUCCAUUAAAGAAAGGCAUGGAACACUUCCCUAGAAAGAAAAUAAAAUUACCUUAUGAAUCUAUUAUGAGAGCCACUUAUGGAUUGCCUACCAAAGAUGGCAAUACCUAG